rnacentral:rRNA from 1 species
UACCAGCUCUCCGAGUGGUGUGGAUGUUUAUUGGGCCUAAAGCAUCCGUAGCUGGCUGGGCAAGUCCCCUGUUAAAUCCACCGAUUUAAUCGUUGGUGUGCGGGGGAUACUGUUCGGCUAGGGGACGGGAGAGGCCGACGGUAUUUUCGGGGUAGGGGUGAAAUCCUAUAAUCCCGGGAAGACCACCAGUGGCGGAGGCUGUCGGCUAGAACGCGCCCGACGGUGAGGGAUGAAAGCUGGGGGAGCGAACCGGAUUAGAUACCCGGGUAGUCCCAGCUGUAAACGAUGCAGGCUAGGUGUUUGGGCGGCCACGUGCCGCUCUAGUGCCGCAGAGAAGUCGUUAAGCCUGCCGCCUGGGGAGUACGGCCGCAAGGCUGAAACUUAAAGGAAUUGGCGGGGGAGCACCACAAGGGGUGAAGCUUGCGGUUU